rnacentral:rRNA from 1 species
UACGGAGGGUGCGAGCGUUAAUCGGAAUUACUGGGCGUAAAGCGCACGCAGGCGGUUUGUUAAGCUAGAUGUGAAAGCCCCGGGCUCAACCUGGGAUGGUCAUUUAGAACUGGCAGACUAGAGUCUUGGAGAGGGGAGUGGAAUUCCAGGUGUAGCGGUGAAAUGCGUAGAUAUCUGGAGGAACAUCAGUGGCGAAGGCGACUCCCUGGCCAAAGACUGACGCUCAUGUGCGAAAGUGUGGGUAGCGAACAUG